rnacentral:rRNA from 1 species
ACUCCUACGGGAGGCAUCAGUAGGGAAUCUUCCACAAUGGGCGCAAGCCUGAUGGAGCAACACCGCGUGAGUGAAGAAGGGUUUCGGCUCGUAAAGCUCUGUUGUUAAAGAAGAACACGUAUGAGAGUAACUGUUCAUACGUUGACGGUAUUUAACCAGAAAGUCACGGCUAACUACGUGCCAGCAGCCGCGGUAAUACGUAGGUGGCAAGCGUUAUCCGGAUUUAUUGGGCGUAAAGAGAGUGCAGGCGGUUUUCUAAGUCUGAUGUGAAAGCCUUCGGCUUAACCGGAGAAGUGCAUCGGAAACUGGAUAACUUGAGUGCAGAAGAGGGUAGUGGAACUCCAUGUGUGCGGUGGAAUGCGUAGAUAUAUGGAAGAACACCAGUGGCGAAGGCGGCUACCUGGUCUGCAACUGACGCUGAGACUCGAAAGCAUGGGUAGCGAACAGGAUUAGAUACCCUGGUAGGAUAGCG